UCUACAAUGGAGAUAAUAAAACAUAAAUGGCUUCAUCACAAUUCCAAAGGCUUAAUGCAGUGUUUUUUAUGGGUUAAGCAGGAAAACACGACAACUUACCAGAGAACUCGAGGGCUUCAAGAUGAUUAACCGAUAAGAUAUGUAUGUGCUUCACAUUGACAAGAAUGGCAUCAGGAUUGUUGAUGGAAUCAAGUGCAAAGACGCGAUUGUAAUGGUAUCUUUCGGAGUUACUUGCGGAGCGUCAUAAUCUUAUUCCAUUCUUGCAUGUGCUUCCACACGCAUAUCGGUUACUAAACCAAGUUGAGGCUGGUUUUAGUCGGUGAAUCUCUUUGAAUGCCGUAGCCGACCUCUUAGCUGAUGAGUCGAACUAAAGUUUUGCUGUUGCAACAUGAGUAGAAGGACAAAGCAAUAUUCAUUGCCAAUAAUGUCUCCGUCUUGGAUUUCUAAUAACGUCUUCAUCGAGAUAAGUAUUAUUUUUUAUAUUUUAUAGAUUAGCAUUUAAAGAUCAACUCUUCCUAAUCUUUCUAUCAAUUUAAGAGGAAAAAGAAAUAUUAGUCACAAAUAUUUAUGAAGAAAUAUUAGUCAUAAAAAUAUUUAAUCUAUUUGUAAAUAGAAAGAAAUAAAAGUUUUUAGAAAAUUACCAUAAUUUUUUAUGAAUAGAAUCCACCAUAGUUUUUAUGCAACUAUAAUCAUUACAAAAAAUAUUAGUAACAAUAUUAUUUUAAAAACUUAAGGAUUCG